rnacentral:precursor_RNA from 12 species
AACACCAUAAGAAAAUCCUGAGCAGCAGUCUGUGGAUGCAAAGUGUGCGAUGCUGCUAUAUGAAACGCCGCACACUACUGAAUCCUCAGACUGCUACUCAGUGUCUCCUUCAGUACCUGA